rnacentral:lncRNA from 1 species
GUUAGUGUAGCACACGUGCAUGCAAUUAGAGCGGCUAGCUGCAUGUUUGCUUGCUUCACUGAUAUCUUUGGAUUUUGAUUGUGCUCAAAGCCAAACCAAAAAGUUGUGCAUAUCAUAAAAGAAGCUCCAUCGCAUCACAUCAGUGAGCUUUCAAAAAAGUCUGUGGUAAUUGCAAGGGAGAUGUUUUAAGAUCAUUUUCCCCACCAUGUUUUGAUGAUGUUAUAUUUACUUGUGCAGUUACCUAGCUUGUUACACUUGCUAUGUUGGAAUUUGAUGAAGAUGGUGGGUAUUGCUGGAGUUGGCCAUCUUUUUUCUUUGAUGCAAAAAUAGGUCAUGAGUAUUGGUGCAUCUUUGCACGUUUUUAGCUUCUUCUUAGAUUGGUAUUUGCUGUAUGCUUCACUAAAACUGCUAGAAUGAAUUUUUUUUUUUCGAUCUGAUCAGUGUUGUUGGCUUUGUUGUGUUGCUGGAAACGAACUGAUCAUGGUUCAUUAGUCUCAAAACUGCUAGUCUUCUACAUGUUGCUGAAAUUUGGUUUUUAUGUUGUUACAAUACUCUUCUGUUUAUGUUGGACUUGUCACUUGUAUUUGGUUAAAUUAUGUUUGUUGACAAUUAUCGAUAAUUA